AUUGAACGCUGGCGGCAGGCCUAACACAUGCAAGUCGAGCGGUAACACAGGGAGCUUGCUCCUGGGUGACGAGCGGCGGACGGGUGAGUAAUGUCUGGGAAACUGCCUGAUGGAGGGGGAUAACUACUGGAAACGGUAGCUAAUACCGCAUAACGUCGCAAGACCAAAGAGGGGGACCUUCGGGCCUCUUGCCAUCAGAUGUGCCCAGAUGGGAUUAGCUAGUAGGGGGGGUAACGGCUCACCUAGGCGACGAUCCCUAGCUGGUCUGAGAGGAUGACCAGACACACUGGAACUGAGACACGGUCCAGACUCCUACGGGAGGCAGCAGUGGGGAAUAUUGCACAAUGGGCGCAAGCCUGAUGCAGCCAUGCCGCGUGUAUGAAGAAGGCCUUCGGGUUGUAAAGUACUUUCAGCGGGGAGGAAGGUGUUGUGGUUAAUAACCACAGCAAUUGACGUUACCCGCAGAAGAAGCACCGGCUAACUCCGUGCCAGCCGCCGCGGUAACAC
rnacentral:rRNA from 1 species